UUCAGUUCAGAAUCGAACUCGAGCAGAGUCGCAACAUCGUUGCCGCGAAGCGCGUGCUGUUUUUCAGUGUGUACGUUUUGAUUGCAAAAAAAUAUAAGCAAAAGAGGAAGGCAAGCAAGAACGCUGAAAAAACAUUUUGUAUCUGCGGCCUGGAAAAGCGCCCGAAGAAAAUGAAUAGAUAAAUUGUGUUAAUCGCCCCAUCGAGCCAGCAAAUAUUUACUGUAUAUUUAUAUUUUGUUGUUGUGCUUUUUUUUUUGCGUUUGAGCAUUAUUUAUUUGUUGUUAAUUGUGCAGCUGCCCGCCUGCGAAUGAUAAAAAUGUCAUAGACGACGAGUUCCCCCCGUCAAGAGCGUCGGACGACAGCGUCGCCUCCAUCAUCAUCCAGCCAUGACCAGCGGCAAUCGAUGAUUGCCAUUCCCUGAGCCAACGAGAGCCAAUAAAGGCAGCCGGAAAGGAGGACGGAUCCGUCGGAAGAGGCACUCUGCGGCCCGCCAUUCAAACAUACAUCAAUAGCCGGAGGGGAUACCCCCGGAUUGAAAGAUUGAAAGGACUAAAGUCACGCGGUCAUCAUGCUGAUCAAGGAGUACCGCAUUCCGCUGCCCCUCACCGUUGAGGAGUACCGCAUCGCCCAGCUCUACAUGAUUGCGAAAAAGAGUCGCGAGGAGAGUCAUGGCGAGGGCAGUGGCGUCGAAAUAAUCAUAAAUGAGCCAUAUAAGGACGGACCUGGCGGAAAUGGGCAGUACACGAAGAAGAUCUACCAUGUGGGCAAUCAUCUGCCAGGCUGGAUCAAGAGUCUCUUGCCCAAGAGCGCAUUAACCGUGGAGGAGGAGGCGUGGAAUGCCUAUCCUUAUACCAGGACCCGCUACACCUGCCCAUUUGUGGAGAAGUUCUCGCUGGACAUUGAGACGUACUAUUUUCCGGAUAAUGGCUAUCAGGAUAAUGUGUUUCAGUUGUCCGGAAGUGAUCUGCGUAACCGCAUUGUGGAUGUGAUCGACAUUGUGAAGGAUCAGCUGUGGGGCGGCGACUAUGUGAAGGAGGAGGAUCCCAAGCACUUUGUGUCGGACAAGACGGGACGCGGUCCCCUCGGCGAGGAUUGGCUGGAGGAGUAUUGGCGCGAGGUGAAGGGCAAGAAGCAGCCGACGCCCCGCAACAUGUCCUUGAUGACCGCCUACAAGAUCUGCCGCGUGGAGUUCCGCUACUGGGGCAUGCAGACGAAGCUGGAGAAGUUCAUUCACGAUGUGGCGCUGCGCAAGAUGAUGCUGCGCGCCCAUCGGCAGGCGUGGGCGUGGCAGGACGAGUGGCACGGCCUAACUAUCGAGGAUAUCCGCGAGCUGGAGCGUCAGACGCAGCUGGCCCUGGCCAAAAAGAUGGGCGGCGGCGAGGAGUGCAGCGAUGACAGCACCUCGGAGCCGUAUGUAAGCACGGCGGUCACCGCCGCCUCCACGGCGGGCAGCGAGCGGAAGAAGUCCGCUCCUGCCGUACCGCCUAUCGUCACCCAGCAGCCGCCAAGUGCCGAGGCCAGUUCGGAUGAGGAGGGCGAUGAGGAGGAGGAGGAGGACGACGAGGAUGAGAACGAUGCCAUUGGCACGGGCGUGGAUCUGUCCGCCAACCAAGGCGGCUCCGCCCAAAGGUCGCGCUCCCAGAGCAUCCAGAUGGCCCAGAAGGCCAAGUUUGGGUCCAAGGGUGCCCUCCAUUCGCCGGUGGGCUCGGCACACAGCUUCGAUCUUCAGUCCAAAAAGCCGCAUGCAAAGGCAGCGCCACGCAGACAUGUGGCAAACUGGCGAAUGGAGCGGUUGGAAGUGGACUCCAAGUCCAACUCGGACGAAGAAUUCUUCGAUUGUUUGGACACCAAUGAAACGAACUCACUGGCCAAGUGGAGCUCCCUGGAGCUGUUGGGCGAGGGCGACGACAGUCCACCGCCACAUGGUGGACCCUCGAGCGCCGCAUCCGUGGGCGGACGUGGCCACUCCCGGCAGGAGGAUAGUAUCUUCAACCAGGACUUCUUGAUGCGCGUCGCCUCGGAGCGUGGGAAUAAGCGACAGUUGCGCUCAUCGGCCAGUGUGGAUCGCAGCCACGACUCGUCGCCGCCGGGUUCGCCGAGCACACCAUCCUGCCCGACCACCAUUCUCAUCCUGGUUGUCCAUGCGGGCAGUGUUUUGGAUGCAGCGAGCGAGCUGACGGCAAAGAAAUCCGAUGUCACCACAUUCCGCGGCUCCUUUGAGGCGGUGAUGCGUCAGCACUAUCCCAGCCUCCUCACCCAUGUGACCAUCAAGAUGGUGCCGUGCCCCUCGAUUUGCACCGACGCCCUGGGCAUCCUCUCCAGCCUCAGUCCGUACUCCUUUGAUGCCUCACCUUCGGCGGCGGAUAUACCAAAUAUAGCCGAUGUACCCAUAGGGGCUAUACCCCUCCUGUCCGUCGCAUCGCCGGAAUUCCAUGAGACGGUGAACAAGACGGUGGCCGCCGCUAAUAUUGUCUAUCAUGAGUUCUUGAAAUCGGAGGAGGGACACGGCUUCUCCGGACAGAUUGUGAUGCUGGGCGAUUCGAUGGGCUCGUUGCUGGCCUACGAGGCACUGUGCCGUUCGAAUGGCAGCCAACCGGGCACCGCCUCGGGUGCCUCGAAUUCUGGCGGAGAUUGCGGCACCGCCGCGACCAAUAUUAAUACCCACAAUCCGCUGGGCGCCCGCCAUUCCCGCUUGGACGAUGACGAGCGUUUCAUUGAGGCCGACUUGGAUGCCAAGCGACUGCUGGUGGCUCCAUCGCCACGGAGACGCCGUUCCAGCUCCUCGAGCGAUUCGCGGGCCACCAAGCUGGACUUUGAGGUGUGCGACUUCUUCAUGUUCGGAUCACCGCUGUCCGUGGUCCUGGCCGCACGGAAACUCCACGAUGCCAAGGCCGCCCUGGCCAGGCCCAACUGCCAUCAGGUGUACAAUCUGUUCCAUCCAACCGAUCCGAUCGCCUCGCGUCUGGAGCCGCUCCUCAGUGCCCGGUUCUCCAUUCUGGCGCCGGUUAAUGUCCCUCGGUACGCCAAGUAUCCGCUGGGAAAUGGUCAGCCAUUGCAUUUAUUGGAGGUGAUUCAGUCGCAUCCGCAGCACUUUAACGAUGGCAAUAACUUGUUGGCCGGCCGAAGAUUGUCGGAUGCCUCGAUGCAGAGCACGAUAUCGGGUCUGAUUGAGAAUGUCUCGCUUAGUACGAUCCAUGCCCUUCAGAACAAAUGGUGGGGCACGAAGCGCCUGGAUUACGCCCUUUAUUGCCCGGAGGGAUUGAGCAACUUUCCGGCUCACGCCUUGCCGCACCUAUUCCAUGCCAGCUACUGGGAGAGUCCGGAUGUGAUUGCCUUCAUCCUGCGGCAGAUUGGCAAAUUCGAGGGCAUACCCUUUGUGGGUUCCAACGAUGACAAGGACAAUGCCUCCUUCCAUCCGGGACAGCCGCGUGAGAAGUGGAUCAAGAAGCGCACCUCGGUGAAGCUUAAAAAUGUCGCCGCCAAUCAUCGGGCCAACGAUGUGAUCGUCCAGGAGGGCAGGGAGCAGCGUCUGAAUGCCCGAUUCAUGUACGGACCCCUGGACAUGAUCACGCUGCACGGCGAGAAGGUGGAUGUGCACAUUAUGAAGGAUCCGCCGGCGGGUGAAUGGACAUUCCUCAGCACCGAGGUGACGGACAAGAACGGUCGCAUCUCGUACAGCAUUCCCGAUCAGGUCUCACUCGGCUAUGGCAUCUAUCCCGUGAAGAUGGUGGUUCGUGGCGAUCACACCUCGGUGGAUUGCUAUAUGGCAGUGGUGCCGCCAUUGACCGAAUGCGUCGUCUUCAGCAUUGAUGGCUCCUUCACCGCAUCGAUGUCGGUGACGGGUCGGGAUCCAAAGGUGCGUGCCGGUGCGGUCGAUGUCUGCCGGCAUUGGCAGGAGCUGGGCUACCUGCUCAUCUACAUCACCGGACGACCCGAUAUGCAGCAGCAGCGGGUGGUGUCCUGGCUGAGCCAGCACAACUUCCCGCACGGCCUCAUCUCGUUCGCCGACGGCCUGUCCACCGAUCCAUUGGGCCACAAGACGGCCUAUCUGAACAACCUUGUGCAGAAUCACGGAAUCUCAAUCACCGCAGCCUACGGCAGCAGCAAGGACAUCAGCGUCUACACAAAUGUGGGCAUGCGAACCGAUCAAAUCUUCAUCGUGGGCAAGGUGGGCAAGAAGCUGCAGUCCAACGCCACCGUGCUGAGCGACGGCUAUGCCGCCCACCUGGCCGGAUUGCAGGCGGUGGGCGGUUCGCGGCCGGCGAAGGGCAAUGCCCGCAUGGUCAUCCCCCGUGGAUGCUUCAAUCUUCCCGGCCAGACGGCCAAUCCGCGGCGCAGAAGGCUGCAUGAACAAGCAACGAAUGAAAAUUGAAUUGCAACUUAAACAAACAACAAAUAAAUUGUUUAGAGCAAUUAAACAACAAUAAAAGCAUCUUGUAAACAGAUAGAAACAAAAAAAAAUCAAAACAAUACAGACAAUUGGUGUUAGUUUUAGCGUUUUAGAAUAUGCCUUAUACUCCCCACAGAUUUUUUGAGUUCUUUUUGUUGAGUAUUUUAAAGCAUACCUAGCUGAGCAUUUUAUUGAUUGAUUGGUGUUGUGACGAAAAAAAAAAACAAAGUUUAUGAAAACCAAUGAAAAUACCACCAAUAUUGGAGGUGAGGAAAAGUCGAUGAGUAUCGAUGUUACAAAUGCCUCAGCCUCCAAAUCCAUCGUAGAGCCACAAAAUUCAACUCUUAUUCAACUUUAACUCUAUCUCUCUUUUUCCAAAAACCAAAAUUUGCUUGAAAAAAAAACUAUUUAAAACCAAACACAACACCCACACACACACCUCACACGCACACACUGCCAUCGACCUUGAUAUCGAUAAACAGCAACGAGACAGGACUAUCAUCACCCAUACGCAGUGGUUACCUGAAGCGCAAGACCUACCUGAGCCACCAUUAGAGCAACAGAGAUGCAGCUAUAUAGAUUGAUCCAUCAUCAGUCAACAAAAAAAACUCAAAUACCCCGAACCCAACUAGUAAUCCCUUCGAAAUAGAAUGAAAUAUAUAGCCAAUGGACAAAAACACCGAUGCCUCCAUAUGCCACAUCUGUGUAUAUACCAUAUAAUUAUAUAUUUAUAUGCGCGAUAUAUUGAAAGUUCAGUGGUGUAAUAUAUAUAUUUAAACAAAAAACAAAAUUUGCAAAUGAGAACAAAACAAUUGUACAACAUUUAACCAAAGUCAAAUGUGUCACGCGGUACCUGGAAAGAAAGACUGUUUCCUCCUGUUGUUUGAUGGUUUUUCAAACCACUUAAAGCAUCAACAAAACAUUGAAAACUACACGAAACAAAAGCCGAUCGUCAAGCCAUAUACUAAAUACAAUUAUGAAAGAUAUAUACAUACAAGGAUAUAUUCAAAAUAUAGAACCGUUUAACAUAUGCAAGCGAACAAAGUUCAACAAACCAAGUGCAGUGCAACAACUGAAGAACAAACUAAUGAAACCGAAGAUCUCCCGAUGAAUAAAGAUGAAAAUUUAAGACAAGGACAAGGCGAGGAAAGCGGGGAAAGCGUUUCAAAAUCAAAUGGCAAAUUUAAUGCAUUUCUUGACAAACAACAACCACUACAAACUCUUACGAAUAGUAUAAAUUAACGGCUUCCGUAAACCAACAAAAUAUAUAUAAAUAUAUGUGCGUGCGUGUAAAAUUGACGAAAAGAAAAGAAACAUGAAACUAAAAUCGUCAUAAAUAUGAAUACAAAUACAAUCUCUUACCUGGCCCCAGAAAUUGAAAAUCUCCAUAAUUGUGAUAGUCUUUCGCUACCAAAAGUUAAUUUAAAAAAAAGAAAACAGUAAAAUAUAUAUAUAUAUAUAUAUUUAUCUCUACUAAAAUUGUUAUUUGGAAAAAAAAAACGUUGAGGGAAGUUCAAGUUACAAGUAUAGAAACUAUUGGAUAUUGUGUAAACGUAAAACCCGAUUUUGUGAUACCAAAACUAAAAACCGAAACCAAAGUUGAGUUCGAGAUGAGAUCAAGCCGAAAACUCCUCGUGUUAGAAACCUAAACAAACAACUCAAGGCGACCUGAAGCUGUAACGGGCAUAGAAUGUGACCCAUAUAGUAUAGUAUAUAUACUACUACCACUAUUUCUGCAUAACCCAGUUAUGUGCUGUCCACACAAGUUAACUAAAAAGUCUCACACAACUUGUAAACACAAGAAAUCGCAGAUAUAAACCAGAUAACAAAGAAUUGAAGGUACUAAAGGGACCUUAAAAGAGCGGUAUAUAUUCGAAUUCUGUUCGAUCUGAUUAGGAUAACCUAAGCCAAAGUUGGUUAACUAUCGAGUAGUUGAGUUACGAGAGUAAGAUACUUCCUAAACUGAAAUAUAAAUGCAAAUUGAAGAGUUUAAAAGAAUAGUUGUAAAGAGAACAGAGUAAUUGUGUGUAAGGAUACAUAGACCUAGACUAUAUAUACUGUAUAUUUAUCUAGCGCAACUACAUUAAGGACUUUUGAAGCUUACUAACUGCAAAAGUGUUCCGAUCAUAGUAUUGUCCGGCUCUACGUUCCUCUCUUCUCCAUUUAAGUCGACUUUCAAACUCUCCAUUAUUUUUGUGUAGCGAGUAUUAAACUAAAAACUGAUGGAAGAUCUACUAGAUUGUAAAAUGAAUCUCUACCCAUGACGAGUUUAUCCUAUGUAAGUACGUAGAAAGUUGGUUCAAGCAUGAGGUAUAAAAGUUAAAGGCAAGUCCUAGUGAAUAACACACCAGAUACUCAUAGAGUCGAAGGGUUGAUGUCUGUCUAAUUAGCUGGUAAAUUAAUGGCAUUUCGGCCAUAACUUUUCUAUAAGUUCUUCUCUUUUAUGCCGAUUUCCUAUUCAAGCGAUAGAUUUAUUCGUACCUGAAUAACAUUCUCAAACUUAGAUCAAAAUGUUAAACAGUUCUAAUAUAGCAAAUUGCAGCUAAUAUUAUUAUUUAAAAAUUGAAAAUUUUCUUUUGUUUUUUGCCUAAUAUAUUCGUUAUUUUUUUUUUGCAAAUAAGAGUGCACACAUGAAUUUUACAUGUUUUAACUCCAACUCUAUUAAACACAUUUAUAAAUAUCUCUCUGCCUUGAAGACUUCUUUUAAUUGUGGGUUACACUUUUAAAAUUUUAUCGGUGAUUUGUGCCGAACGUAUUAUUUUUAUAUAGUUGCAAUUUGUAUAAUUCGACUUCUAACAUCCCUAUUUUUCACCAGAAUAAGAACUCCCUAAGCCAAUAAAGCGUUUAGCAAAAUUGUAUUGAUAUUUUGAGAACCCACCAUUUAGAUGAUAAGCUAAAGCUCCCCAACACCGGAUGAUGAUGACUAAUGCCGAGGGUAUAAUCAAAGAACAAAAACCAAAAACCAAAAACAAUGGAAUGGUUUAAUAUACUACAUGCAAUUGUUACGUACAUAAGUAAAUAUAUGUCCGUAUGGUUAUGUAUUUUAAUUAUUAAGUGCAAAAGUCCAGGAAUAACAAAUACGAAUUCAGAUUGUAAACAAUUAUAAAAAGAACGAGGCGAACAAAAUAUGAAAUUAUUUAUUGACAACAAAAUCUACAAGCAAAAAAAGAACAAAAAACGCGGAGCAAGCCAAAUGCAAUCUAUUUACAAAAAUCCUACAUAAAUAAAGCGAAGCAAGAAUGACAAACCAAAAAAUAUAAAAUAGCUGUCCCGAUAUAAAUUAAUAUAUAUAUACAUACACAUAUAAUAUAUACCUACCCAAAAACCAGAGAUUUUUAAGCCAAUGAUUGAAAUUGGACUAUGACAAAUAACAAAAAUAAAAAAAAAUUGACAUAUGGCAGUAACAAAAUAUUUUUCGAUGUAAGCUGUUUGUUAAAAAAUGAUCGAGUUUCAGCGAAUGAUAUGGCUAAACCAGUUAAUAAUUUCACAGAAAACAAAGCGGUUCAUGAAAAGAUAAAAAAAAAACAAAUGUUCUAUUUGAUGUUGCAAAUGAGAAAAAUAAAUAAAACAUGCUAUGUAAAAAAA